rnacentral:rRNA from 1 species
GACGAAGGAUGCAAGCGUUAUCCGGAUUCAUUGGGUUUAAAGGGAGCGUAGGUGGCCUUAUAAGUCAGUGGUGAAAUCUCUGGGCUUAACCCAGAAAUUGCCAUUGAUACUGUAGGGCUUGAGUACAGUUGCUGUGGGCGGAAUAUGACAUGUAGUGGUGAAAUACAUAGAGAUGUCAUAGAACACCGAUUGCGAAGGCAGCUCACAAAACUGUAACUGACAACUGAGGCUCGAAAGUGCGGGGAUCAAACAGG